rnacentral:rRNA from 1 species
CGGACGGGUGAGUGACGCGUGGGUAACCUGCCUUACACAGGGGGAUAACACCUGGAAACAGGUGCUAAUACCGCAUAAGCGCACAGGGCCGCAUGGCCCGGUGUGAAAAACUCCGGUGGUGUAAGAUGGACCCGCGUCUGAUUAGCUUGUUGGCGGGGUAGGGGCCCACCAAGGCGACGAUCAGUAGCCGGCCUGAGAGGGUGGACGGCCACAUUGGGACUGAGACACGGCCCAAACUCCUACGGGAGGCAGCAGUGGGGGAUAUUGGACAAUGGGGGAAACCCUGAUCCAGCGACGCCGCGUGAGUGAAGAAGUAUUUCGGUAUGUAAAGCUCUGUCAGCAGGGAAGAAAGAAAUGACGGUACCUGACCAAGAAGCCCCGGCUAACUACGUGCCCGCAGCCGCGGUAAUACGUAGGGGGCAAGCGUUAUCCGGAAUUACUGGGUGUAAAGGGAGCGUAGACGGUGAUGCAAGUCUGGAGUGAAAGGCGGGGGCCCAACCCCCGGACUGCUCUGGAAACUGUGUAACUUGAGUGCAGGAGAGGUAAGCGGAAUUCCUAGUGUAGCGGUGAAAUGCGUAGAUAUUAGGAGGAACACCAGUGGCGAAGGCGGCUUACUGGACUGUAACUGACGUUGAGGCUCGAAAGCGUGGGGAGCAAACAGGAUUAGAUACCCUGGUAGUCCACGCCGUAAACGAUGAUUACUAGGUGUCGGUGGGUAUGGACCCACCGGUGCCGCAGCAAACGCAGUAAGUAAUCCACCUGGGGAGUACGUUCGCAAGAAUGAAACUCAAAGGA